rnacentral:rRNA from 1 species
UACGAAGGGGGCUAGCGUUGCUGAAUCACUGGGCGUAAAGCGCACGUAGGCGGCUUUUUAAGUCAGGGGUGAAAUCCUGGAGCUCAACUCCAGAACUGCCUUUGAUACUGAGAAGCUUGAGUCCGGGAGAGGUGAGUGGAACUCCGAGUGUAGAGGUGAAAUUCGUAGAUAUUCGCAAGAACACCAGUGGCGAAGGCGGCUCACUGGCCCGGUACUGACGCUGAGGUGCGAAAGCGUGGGGAGCAAACAGG